CUCGUAGGCGGUUCGUCGCGUCCGGUGUGAAAGUCCAUCGCUUAACGGUGGAUCCGCACCGGGUACGGGCGGGCUUGAGUGCGGUAGGGGAGACUGGAAUUCCCGGUGUAACGGUGGAAUGUGUAGAUAUCGGGAAGAACACCAAUGGCGAAGGCAGGUCUCUGGGCCGUUACUGACGCUGAGGAGCGAAAGCGUGGGGAGCGAACA
rnacentral:rRNA from 1 species